GGCACUGUGGCUUCGUUGGUCAAAGUGCCUGUCUAGUAAACAGAAAAUCCUGGGUUCAAAUCCCAGCAGUGCCU
rfam:Tetraodon nigroviridis, WGS project CAAE01000000 data, contig: CNS0C5Y8, chromosome: undetermined